rnacentral:rRNA from 1 species
UACGUAGGGUGCAAGCGUUACUCGGAAUUACUGGGCGUAAAGCGUGCGCAGGCGGUUCUGUAAGGCAGAUGUGAAAUCCCCGGGCUCAACCUGGGAACUGGAUUUGUGACUGUAGAGCUGGAGUACGGCAGAGGGGGAUGGAAUUCCGCGUGUAGCAGUGAAAUGCGCAGAUAUGCGGAGGAACACCGAUGGCGAAGGCAAUCCCCUGGGCCUGUACUGACGCUCAUGCACGAAAGCGUGGGGAGCAAACAGG